UACAGAGAAGAAAAGUAGAAAGAAGAAACCAUCUUUGGAAAAAGAAGCUCCGGAAGAUAGGAAUAUUUUUCUCUUUUUAUUUUAGUUAAUGUGAAUAUGGGUAUUGGGUCAAACAUCAGUUCUAUCAGAUAGUGAUAGUAUCUUACCACAUUUAAUAUCUCACUUGCCAUGGAUUUAUUAUUUAGCUUUUUGAACUAUUCCACUAACAUCACACCUUGACUGAAUCAAUCAGUGCACCACAAUGAUAGCUUUAUGUGCUAACAUUUGUGUUAGCAUUUUGAGACUCUCUUUAAAUUAUGAAUUGAGUCUCUAAAUUCUACCAUAAUAUUCAAAUAUUGAAUUCAAUGACAUAGUUUCCAAGUGCAAAUAUUGUCAAAAAAUAGUUUAACAUACUAAGAAAAAGACAAAGUAUAUUGAAACAAAUCUUUCUGUUAUCAAAUCAGUAAUUUUAAACAUAGACCUCAUGGUUUUUGUUUAAGUUUAUACUUCAGUUGUUAUUUUUGGAUUCAGAAACUAAUACAUAAUUUACUUUCUGUUAUUCCUUUAUUCUUUAAGUAGGAAAGUCAGUUAUAAAAUUAAAUACAUUUUGUCUUUUAGUGAUAUAACAAUGUCUAAAUAUAAUGUAUUACUGACAUAUAGUAGACUAUAUUGCUAAUAUAUUAACAUUCCAUAUUUCAUUAAUGAUAUAUGAAGAUACUACAUCUUUCCACUUUAACAAAUUGUAGGUAGAAUAACUGAUAGAAUUCAUGAUUUUGUACUUACAUAUUUCAUUAAAUAUCAUUAAACUAAAAUUAUUUUGGUAAAGGGUAUAUUUUAUUGAAAUAAUAAACAUAAAAUUAGAAGUCCCUAAAAGAAAGAAUAAUGUUACAAAAUAAUAUGGAAUAAUAAGCUAAUUUGUAUUUUGGUGAUGAAAUGGAUAAUACCAUUAGGAAAGUUGUAGAUCUCCGGCCCAGUUUAUUGUAAGACAAAGUGUUUUAUUAUAUUCUGGACAAUUAUUCAAAAUACUUUCUGUGCUGCUACAACCAAUUGAUACGGUUUGACUGUGUCCCAACCCAAAUCUUAUCUUGAAUUGUAGUUCCUAUUAUCCUUCCAUGAUAUGGGAGGGACCCUGUGGGAGGUAAUUGAAUCAUGGAGGCGUUUUUUUCCCGUGCUGGUCUCGUGAAUAUGAAUAAGUCUCACAAGAUCUGAUGGCUUUCUUUAUAAAGGGCAGUUCCCCUGCAUAUGCUCUCUUGCCUGACUCCAUGUAGGACAUGCCUUUGCUCCUCAUUCACCUUCUGCCAUGAUUGUGAGGCCUCCCCAGCCAAGUAGAACUAAGCUGAGAAUGACCUUUUGCCAAAGGCAGCAGGGAAAGGAGGACUUCAGUUUUACCAAUUGAAUUCUGUCAAUACCUUGAAUUAGUCAAGAAGUAGAUUUGUCUCCAGAGGCCAGUCCUGUUGACAACUUCAUUUUGAACUUGUGAAAUUUGAAGCACAAAUAUCAGCUGAGCGCACCAAACUUCCAACCUACAGAAUCACAAUAAAUUAGUGUUGUAUUAAGCCUUUAACUAUGUGGCAAAUUUUUAUGGCAGCAGUAAAUAAUUAAUACACAUGUGAAAGUCAUUAUCAUUAUCUCAUGCUUGUUUAUUAUCAUUAAAAAAUUGUUAUUGUUUAGCUUAUUUCUACAAGAUAAAUAUUUGAUAUUUUUAAGCACUCAUUAAGGCAUAUGGCUCCCAAAAUUUCUUAUAUUUUGUACUUUAUUCAUUAAAUUAAAUUAAUAUUUCAAACUGAACUUCCCACACAUAUGUAAUACUUUUCCUAUUUGAUAUAAAUUACUUUAUUUUUGUUAAACUUAAUGGAGAAAACAGUUUCCUUAAGGUUUAAUUUUUAUCUAUCUUCUAAAUAGUGUAAAAGCAUGUUUCAAAAGAAAUGAGAUAAAAGCACAAAUAUUAAAUAAAUGGAUGAAAGAUUUGCGGUUGGAAAGUAGAAAGUAAUGGUACACUAACAUUUAAAUAUAGAUGGAUAAGCGGAAAACAUGGUGAUAAAACAAAAGUCACAUUAAAAUUUGAUUGUCUUUACUAACAAAUUGUGGAAAAUAAUUUAUUUAGAGGUAUAACAAUUUUUAAAAAUUUAAUUUUUCUUUUUUAUUGUUUAAUUUUUAAAUUUCCUUUAUUGUUUCAGCAGUAGAAAAAGUUUUGCAUUGGGAGUAAGGAGACUUGGAUGGAUUUCAAUACCACCUUAGUCAGGUGUCAGACUUUAACCAGGUUAUUUUGUUUUAUAGUUAAAAGACAUGCUGUUCAUUAUUUACUCUAAAAAGUUCUCUCAAUAUUUUUGCCCAAAGCAUAACAGUUUAAAGCAUGUUAUGUGCCCAAAAUAACAGUUACUUUUGGCAAUUAUAGUAUUUGUGUGUGUGUGUGUGUGUGUGUGUGUGUGUAUUAUAAAACAGAGAAUAAGAAAAUGAAAGUGUUGCUCUAUUCAUGUAUAUGACUCAUUGGAAAAAUAAAGUGUGUACAAGGAAAAGAGUUUAUUCUUGUUUUGUUUUGUUUUCCUUGAAUGCUUGUUUUAGUAUAAGAUGAGCAGCAUGCUUAUGAUUUAUUCCAACUAGCACGUUGCUCUUGUUUUAUCAUAUGUUGAUAUGUUGACACUACUUUUAUAUUGUAUAGCAUGUUAUUCCGUAUUCAUGCUGCUAUGAAGACAUACCUGAGACAGGGAUAUUUAUAAAGAAAAGAGGUUUAAUUGACUUAUGGUUCCACAUGGCUAGAGAGGCCUCAAGAAACUUACAAUCAUGACAGAAGGUGAAAUAGGCAUGUCUUACAAGGCAGCAGGUGAGAGAAGUGAGUGCUGAGCAAAGAAGGAAGACCCUCAUAAAACCACCAGAUCUCAUGAGAACUUACUCACUAUCAUGAGAACAGCAUGAGGGUAACUGCUCCCGUGAUUCGAUUACCUCCCACCAGGAACCUCCCAUGACACCUGAGGAUUACAGAAACUAUAAUUCAAGAUGAGAUUUGGGGGAGCCAAAUCAUAUCAUAGGGUUAUUAACAGGCCAUGGAAUUAUUUUUCUAUAAGAACUUUUUGAGUUAUUCAGUAGGACCUUUAAUUCCAACUUUAGGAUAAUAGCAACAGUAAUAAUCAAUGUAAAUAUAGUAAUGAAAAAACACACUAUACACUACAAACUAUUCUAAAUGUUGUAACAUGUAUUGACCUGUUAAUUCUCUUCCCAACACACAGAUAUCAUUAUAGUCCUUAAUUAUAAAAAAUGAGAUUUAGUGAGCUUGAAUAGCUUGCUUAAACUAAUAGAAAUAACCUGGCAUGGAGUCUGAAUUGGAACCCAAG
rnacentral:lncRNA from 1 species